rnacentral:rRNA from 1 species
CCUACGGGAGGCAGCAGUGAGGAAUAUUGGUCAAUGGGCGGGAGCCUGAACCAGCCAAGUAGCGUGAAGGAUGACUGCCCUACGGGUUGUAAACUGCUUUUAUACGGGAAUAACGCGCCUUACGUGUAGGGCUUUGCAUGUACCUUAUGAAUAAGGACCGGCUAAUUCCGUGCCAGCAGCCGCGGUAAUACGGAGGGUCCGGGCGUUAUCCGGAUUUAUUGGGUUUAAAGGGAGCGUAGGCCGGAUGUCAAGCGUGCUGUGAAAGGUUCGGGCUCAACCGUGGACUUGCAGUGGGGACUGGCGGGCUUGAGUACGCGGGAAGCAGGCGGAAUUCGUGGUGUAGCGGUGAAAUGCUUAGAUAUGACGAAGAACCCCGAUUGCGAAGGCAGCUUGCUGCAGCGGCACUGACGCUGAUGCUCGAAAGCGUGGGUAUCGAACAGGAUUAGAUACCCGUGUAGUC